rnacentral:rRNA from 1 species
GUAAAUAAUAAAGGGCGUAUGGUGGAUGCCUAGGCUCUCAGAGGCGAUGAAGGACGUGAUAAGCUGCGAAAAGCUCCGUUUAGGUGCAAAUAACCUUUGAUGCGGAGAUCUCCGAAUGGGAUAACCCAAUAUGUUGAAGACAUAUUAUACCGUAAGGUAGGCAAACGCAGGGAACUGAAACAUCUAAGUACCUGCAGGAGAAGAAAACAAACGUGAUUCCCCCAGUAGCGGCGAGCGACCGGGGAUAAGCCCAAACCGUUAUUGUUUCGGCAGUAGCGGGGUAGUAGGACUGCGACAUUGAUGAAAUAAAUGAAAUGGAACACCUUGGAAAAUGUGAUCACAGAGGGUGAUAAUCCCGUACAUGCAAGUUUAUGAAUCAUAGCAGACUCCUGAGUAAGUCGGGACACGUGUAAUCCUGACCGAAUCCGCCGGGACCAUCCGGUAAGGCUAAAUACUCCCGAGAGACCGAUAGUGAACCAGUACCGUGAGGGAAAGGUGAAAAGCACUUCGAACAGAAGAGUGAAAUAGUCCCUGAACCCAUACGCCUACAAGCUGUCGGAGCCGCUUCGUGCGGUGACGGCGUGCCUUUUGCAUAAUGAGCCUACGAGUUACUCAUCACCAGCGAGGUUAAGUACUUCAGGUACGUAAGCCGAAGCGAAAGCGAGUCUGAAUAGGGCGUCAAGUUGGUGGUGGUAGACGCGAAACCUUAGUGAUCUACCCAUGGGCAGGGUGAAGGUUUGGUAACACAAACUGGAGGCCCGAACCGGUAAACGUUGAAAAGUUUUCGGAUGACCUGUGGGUAGGGGUGAAAGGCCAAUCAAACUGGGAAAUAGCUCGUACUCUCCGAAAUGCAUUUAGGUGCAGCCUCUGUUGUUUUGUUCUAGAGGUAGAGCUACUGAUUGGAUGCGAGGGCUUCACCGCCUAUCAAAUCCGGCCAAACUCCGAAUGCUAGAACAUGAAGACAGGGAGUGAGCCAGCGGGUGCUAAGGUCCGUUGACGAAAGAGGGAGAACUCAGACCAUCAGCUAAGGUCCCCAAUUGUAUGCUAAGUUGGAAUUAAAACGGGGUGGGACUGCUUAGACAGCUAGGAUGUUGGCUUGGAAGCAGCCAUUCAUUUAAAGAGUGCGUAACAGCUCACUAGUCGAGCGGUCCUGCAUGGAUAAUACGCGGGCAUAAGCAUAUAACCGAAGCUAUGGGAUUGUAGAUGAUACAAUCGGUAGGAGAGCAUUCCAUUCAGCGUAGAAGCAGUAUCGUGAGGUAUUGUGGAGCGGAUGGAAAAGCAAAUGUAGGCAUAAGUAACGAUAAUGCGGGUGAGAACCCCGCACGCCGAAAGAUCAAGGAUUCCCCGGCAAUGUCAAUCAUCCGGGGGUAAGUCGGAUCCUAAGGGUAAGCCGAGUGGCGAUCCCGAUGGCAAACAGGUUAAUAUUCCUGUACUGAUCAUAACUGCGAUGCAGCGACGCAGAGGUGACACUGCUGCGUACUGACGGAAUAGUACGUUGAAACCCGUAUUCUUUGAUACCGGUAGUGAAGCACGCCGGUAGAGAUGAAAGGUGAUAGUACCGCAAUGCUUCGGUUGCGCGGAUAAUGCAGGUAAGCUGACUGCCAAGAAAACCUGCUAAGCUUCAGGUAAUGAUCAUCCGUACUGUAAACGGACACACGUGAUCAGGUAGAAAAUACUAAGGCGCUCGAGAGAUUCAUGGUUAAGGAACUAGGCAAAAUGGUCCUGUAACUUCGGGAUAAAGGACGCUCUUGUGAAAGAGCCGCAGAUAAUAGGCCCAGGCGACUGUUUACCAAAAACACAUGGCUAUGCUAAUUCGCAAGAAGAUGUAUAUGGCCUGACACCUGCCCGGUGCCGGAAGGUUAAGAGGAGAGCUCAGAGGCAACUCGAAGGUUUGAAUUGAAGCCCCGGUAAACGGCGGCCGUAACUAUAACGGUCCUAAGGUAGCGAAAUUCCUUGUCGGGUAAGUUC